rnacentral:rRNA from 1 species
UGGGGGAUAUUGCACAAUGGGCGAAAGCCUGAUGCAGCGACGCCGCGUGGGGGAUGAAGGCCUUCGGGUUGUAAACUUCUUUUGCUCUGAACAAGGCAUGCUAAUGGGUGUGUUGAGUGUAGGGGUUGAUUAGCGCCGGCUAACUACGUGCCAGCAGCCGCGGUAAUACGUAGGGCGCGAGCGUUGUCCGGAAUUAUUGGGCGUAACGGGCUUGUAGGUGGCUGGUUGCGUCUGUCGUGAAAGCUCAUGGCUUAACUGGGGGUUUGCGGUGGGUACGGGGUUGCUUUAGUGCAGUAGGGGGGGCUGGAAAUCCUGGUGUAGCGGUGGAAUGCGCAGAUAUCAGGAGGAAUACCGGUGGCGAAGGCGGGUCUCUGGGCUGUUACUGACACUGAGGAGCGAAAGCAUGGGGAGCGAACAGG